rnacentral:rRNA from 1 species
GACGAACGCUGGCGGCGUGCUUAACACAUGCAAGUCGAACGAUGAAGCCGGAGCUUGCUCUGGUGAAUUAGUGGCGAACGGGUGAGUAACACGUGAGUAACCUGCCCCUUUCUCUGGGAUAACGCUCCGAAAGGAGUGCUAAUACCGGAUACUCCCACCGAGGCACAUGCCUUGGUGUGGAAAGUUUUUCGGAAAGGGAUGGAGUCGCGGCCUAUCAGCUUGUUGGUGAGGUAACGGCUCACCAAGGCGACGACGGGUAGCCGGCCUGAGAGGGCGACCGGCCACACUGGGACUGAGACACGGCCCAGACUCCUACGGGAGGCAGCAGUGGGGAAUAUUGCACAAUGGGCGCAAGCCUGAUGCAGCGACGCCGCGUGAGGGAUGAAGGUCUUCGGAUUGUAAACCUCUUUCAGUAGGGACGAAGCGAAAGUGACGGUACCUAAAGAAGAAGCACCGGCUAACUACGUGCCAGCAGCCGCCGUAA